AGAGUUUGAUCAUGGCUCAGGACGAACGCUGGCGGCGUGCCUAAUACAUGCAAGUCGAGCGGAUCUUCAUUAGCUUGCUUUUGAAGAUCAGCGGCGGACGGGUGAGUAACACGUGGGCAACCUGCCUGUAAGACUGGGAUAACUUCGGGAAACCGGAGCUAAUACCGGAUAAUCCUUUCCCUCACAUGAGGGAAAGCUGAAAGACGGUUUCGGCUGUCACUUACAGAUGGGCCCGCGGCGCAUUAGCUAGUUGGUGAGGUAACGGCUCACCAAGGCAACGAUGCGUAGCCGACCUGAGAGGGUGAUCGGCCACACUGGGACUGAGACACGGCCCAGACUCCUACGGGAGGCAGCAGUAGGGAAUCUUCCGCAAUGGACGAAAGUCUGACCGAGCAACGCCGCGUGAACGAUGAAGGCUUUCGGGUCGUAAAGUUCUGUUGUCAGGGAAGAACAAGUACCGGAGUAACUGCCGGUACCUUGACGGUACCUGACCAGAAAGCCACGGCUAACUACGUGCCAGCAGCCGCGGUAAUACGUAGGUGGCAAGCGUUGUCCGGAAUUAUUGGGCGUAAAGCGCGCGCAGGCGGUUCCUUAAGUCUGAUGUGAAAGCCCCCGGCUCAACCGGGGAGGGUCAUUGGAAACUGGGGAACUUGAGUGCAGAAGAGGAGAGCGGAAUUCCACGUGUAGCGGUGAAAUGCGUAGAGAUGUGGAGGAACACCAGUGGCGAAGGCGGCUCUCUGGUCUGUAACUGACGCUGAGGCGCGAAAGCGUGGGGAGCAAACAGGAUUAGAUACCCUGGUAGUCCACGCCGUAAACGAUGAGUGCUAGGUGUAGAGGGUAUCGACCCCUUCUGUGCCGCAGUUAACACAAUAAGCACUCCGCCUGGGGAGUACG
rnacentral:rRNA from 1 species